GAGCUGCGGCUGUCAUUAGGUAUAGAGUCCCCCCUGGAAUUCGGUCCCCUACAUAGCAAAGUAGUGGUAACGUAAUAUAACUAAAACAGUAAGAACGCUAUUUGUUUGAUUUCACUUCCUACAGCCUCAUAUACAUACUAGCAUAGCAAGCACUUAAUAUAAAUACGUUAAUGAUAAUUUUAGCACAGUUCUAGUGACAUGUACCCUAAUGUAAUUUUGUAAGAAUUGCAAUCAAGUGCUCAAAGAGUACCCAAAUAGACUAAUUACAAAAUAUAAUAUCACAAUGCAAAUAACCAAAAUAAAACAAACAAUCAAAAAAAGCACAUCACUUAUACAUCUAAAACCAAAAAAGACGUUCUUCCAAUAGAAUCACUCGGGGUCCUAGAGGGGACCGUAUUCGAGGGGGGACUCGAUUGGGGGACUCUAUGGGUGCUUCUCAAUAUCCCUCCUCAUCUUCUCGCUCCUCUAUCCUCCAUCCUAUGACCCGGAAACCAAUCGAGCUCAGCCAUAUUGAAGGACAUCUCAAUUCGAGAAGGGUCUGGCUGCAGACCAGGGGUGCUUCUCAAUAUCUCUCCUCGUCUCCUCGCUCCUCUAUCCUCCAUCCUAUGACCUGGAAACCGAUCGAGCUCAGCCCUAUUGAAGGACAUCUCAAUUCUCUAAUUGCACCGGGAGGAGUCGAGGAUCGAGGAGGGAGGAGGCUUCCUGAGGAGUCAUGAGCGAGGAUACACAGGUGUAUCCUAUGCGGAAGUUGUUUAUUGCCUAAACGUGUCGCACGUAUAAAUUCUCCUCCCACUUCACAUCUGCUUCAAGUGCUUACCAUGGCAGAACAUUCAAACACACAUAAAUGGACUGAUGAGGAGACUGAACAGUUAAUUAAAUUGAGGAUGGAGCUGGAUUCCGACUUCACUGGGAAGAGGAACAGUGCCAAAAAAACCUGGAUGAGCUCCGCUGUCCUCCUACGGGAACGGGAACAGAUAGUGGGGAGGCCACAGCAGCCACAUGGCCGUGGUUUACUGCAAUGCAUGAGGCUAUUGGGAGGAGGCCGUCUAUUGAGCCUCCCAUUCUGAUAGACUCAUGUGACGCAGAAGUCACUGGCAGUUCUGCUGUGUCCAAUGAGCCUGGCUUGUCACCAUCUGCAUCUGUGGAGGAAAGAGAGGAGGACUCCACAACCUCCGCACUGUCUGGCACAGGCAACGUUAACAAGGAAAGACCCUGUACUUCUUCGGGUCCCCCGCCACCCAAAAAGAAAAGAACCAACAGAGUGCUAUAUUUUCUAGAAACGGAGACAGAAAAAGAGGAGGAACGUUUUCAAGCCACGCA